rnacentral:lncRNA from 1 species
AUGCGCGGAAUUCUGAUCGUGGCCGGUCUGGUCACUCUGGCCGCCGUCGCGGUGGUAGCCGAACCCCCAGCGACGCCAAAACCCGAGGAACAACCGGGCGGCCAUCUCGUGAGCCCCGAGGACCACCUGGCGGAGGAUGCAGGAGCACACGACGACACCCAUGCCGAUCAUGUGGAUGGAGAUGAACACACAGAUCAAGUCGAGGAUGAGGAAAACGUCUUUGCCUCUGUUGAGCUAGCGGCUACAAAUGCAGACCUUGCUAUCAAGCUCAUGAAACGAGCAUUGAGCGUGCUACUGGAGAGUAGUGCCAGUGCAAUGGAGCAUACUGAAGCACUACUGAAGAGUGGUGUUGUCAGCGUAAGCUCCGUUACCCAGGGUGCAGCGACUGCGGCAAAACAACUUGCGGUGACCCCUGAGCCAGUUGCCCAGAAACAAAAAGCUCCAGAACACAAACCACCACCACCACCACCACAGAGACAGAGGAGCGGUUGGUCGUGGUGGUAAAAACCACAUAUGACCACUAAAAAGAAGCUCUGGAAAAGUAUUAAAACUGCGGUGAUCAUUUGACUGUCCAGGCAUAAAAUCAUAAUGUCAUCAGUGGUAACUUGAACUGACAGAAACAGGAUAAAGAGGGCAUCUUUCAUGUAUUUUAUCUCUGUUAACAGUUAAAUUUUGUAACAGUGAAAAGGGAUAUUGAAUGUUAAAUAAAUUUUGAGGCAUACUAAUUACAAGAAUAUUUUAGUAUCAUUUUUUGUACUUAAUUUGUUUCAACCUAAACAACUAAUAAUAUUUAGUUUCGUGUGUAUUAUGUAUUUUAUUCAACGCUAUUUGAAAAUUGUAAAAAGGAAUUUUUGACCAUAGACCUCUCCUUUAAUGAACAAUUUUGGCUACACCACUAUAGAGAACUAUGAAGUUUUACUAAUUUUGAUGAUGUAAAGUGCAAACUCUCACAGUAUUUGGAAGAGACUAGAAGUUCUAAAAAAUUCAAAAUCAGUGUUUCCUUUUUUAAGCAAUCUGGUCCGAGGGAAAUAGGAGGUAAGUUUUAAGUCCCUUGAUUGGAAUAGCUUUUUUUCUCUUUUUUUUGUCUAAGAACAUUCCCGUGAGAGCAAUCUGUUUAGGGUCGCAGGGAGUGCCUGCAAAUUAGUGAAUGAAAAGGGACUCGAGGCAUCUUGUUGAAAAUUGUACUUAUUUUUCUUUUCUCAGAUAAAUAAAUGGACAUCAAAGUGAUUACAGAUACAGUCAAAUACACUUAAUAUAGAUUACAGCACUUUACAAAACUAAAAUAUCUUAGUAAAAAUCAACAGGUAUGCCACGUGCAUGCCAGAUGAGAGGUAUCUAGCAUGUUAAUGCGAUAAUAAAGUCUCUACUUUUGCUAAAACUUGCCUUAUUUGUGUUUUAAUUUCAAAACAACCUAAACAGUUGGAAAGAAGUUGGAAUACAUACUGCUGUUUAUUUAUUCGAAUUCUGGUUCACAACAUCCAUGAAAAUAUUUCAACUUGACUUUUUUUUUUCGACAAAAAUUUAACUACGCACAGGAUUUUUUUAGGAGAAAAAUAAAAGAGAAGAUGGAAAUUCUGCUCCUCACCAGGAAUAUACAUGACUGGAUGUCUGGAAAAUCUUUCAAUUUACGUAAUGUUAUUUAAUUUGCUCAGUUUGUAUGUUUGAAACACAAAUUUAUUCAUCUUCAAAGACAUCUAAAGAUUACCAACUGUUAGAAAAUUAAAAAGUUAACUUGAGUCUAAUUACACUUGAUCAAAUCAAUUUAAAUACAUAUUAACAAGCAGAGAAAAUGGUAAGUAUAAAGGGACCAUUUAUACAGAGGUGGGUUAUUGACUGCCAGUAUAAUGUUCACAUAUGGACAUCAAUAGGCAGGAACGACCCAUCUUAAUCAAAAAAUUAGAAGAACAUCAUACGUAUCUCAAUAGUGUCAUCUCUUAGAAAGUACAUGCAUCCUUAAAACUUUUGGUGCAUAUGGAUGUCUUCUCCUUCUUUCAUUUCUUCUUCUUUAUGUCUACUUAUUUUACUCAAAAACCAUUUGAACAAGAUCAGAAAAAUAGAUGAGGCUGGUACAAUUUUAAUUUUUCAAUAAAUCUAAGUUUCUAAGAAAUUUUAAAACCGCAAGAGGUGCUUGCAGCAUACAAAAUUUUCCAUUGUCGAUCCCCCUUUUUGAUGCACUUGGGAAUGCUAUGUUUCUGAAAAUUUUGUCCAUGAUCAAUACAAUUUUAAUAAUUGAAAAAAUUUGCGGUUUAAUGAUGAUGGUAGGAAACAAUGGCAGUUUUCUUAUUGCUUUGGACAGCAAAAGUAACUUUGAAAUAUAUUUUCUCUGACACAGUCAAGCAUGAAGAUUUAAUGAUCACAGAAUGCUUUUCAUAAAAUAACCCAUAAUUUUCUUCAAAGAGAUUCUCUCUGUCACUGGUUAAAAUUUCACCUAAGAACACUAAUUUGAGACAGAACAUCAGUAAAAAAACAGGACUUGCAUUUUAACUCACGCAGGUAGUUACGAUGAUAAUGGAUAGCCAAAAGCAUCUUUAUUCUCAUCUAGAAGAGCAGCAGACGAGUCGCAAAUUUUCAGAAGAAGCUCAUUCAAUUCUUGUUUGCCAUAUUCCUGAAAAGCAUUAAGAAAUUAGAUGAAUUCUAUUGCAUGUCUUACAGUUGAUUUUCAUGUUAUCAUUAUUUGAAAUAAAAAAAAAAGGUAACCUACAAUA